rnacentral:rRNA from 1 species
AUGAACGCUAGCGGCAGGCUUAACACAUGCAAGUCGAGGGGCAACACGGGUAGCAAUACCUGGUGGCGACCGGCGCAAGGGUGCGUAACGCGUGAGCAACAUGCCCUAUACAGGGGGAUAAUCCAGGGAAACUUGGUCUAAUAUCCCAUAGUAUUUAGAGGUGGCAUCACCACUAAAUUAAAGCUUCGGUGGUAUAGGAUUGGCUCGCGUGACAUUAGCUGGAUGGUGGGGUAACGGCUCACCAUGGCGAUGAUGUCUAGGGGUUCUGGGAGGAAGACCCCCCACACUGGGACUGAGACACGGCCCAGACUCCUACGGGAGGCAGCAGUGAGGAAUAUUGGACAAUGGAUGGAAAUCUGAUCCAGCCAUGCCGCGUGCAGGAAGACGGCCCUAUGGGUUGUAAACUGCUUUUAUAUGGGAGCAAUAAGGUCUACGUGUAGACUGAUGAGAGUACCAUAUGAAUAAGCAUCGGCUAACUCCGUG